AAAAUUACAAGAAAAGCCUUUGGCUGCAACCCCACCUAUAUUAAAGAAACCAGUUGUUUUGAAGGAUGUAGGGGCAGCAACAAUGACAGCAGAUGAUGAAACUAAUACAGCAGCAAAGACAAAAGAGAGAAAGCCAAUUCUGAUUGACAAAUAUGCUUCAAAGAAACCUGUAGUUGAUCCUUUUAUUUCUGAUGCCAUAUUGGCACCAACAAAACCUGUAAAAGCCCCUCCUCCUGGAAAGUUCAAGGACGAUUACCGCAAGAGGAGUGUUGCGUCAGGAGGUCCACGAAGGAAAAUGGUUGGUGAUGGUAAAGAUGAUGUUGAAAUCCCAGAUGAUGUUUCCAUUCCUAGUGUGAGUACAGC
rnacentral:lncRNA from 1 species